rnacentral:rRNA from 1 species
AGCGCAGGCGGGUUGGCAAGUCCUUGGUGAAAUCCUGAGGCUUAACCUCAGGACUGCCAAUGAUACUGCCGAUCUUGAGUGCAGAAGAGGAAGACGGAAUUCCUGGUGUAGCGGUGAAAUGCGUAGAUAUCAGGAAGAACACCGGUGGCGAAGGCGGUCUUCUGGUCUGUAACUGACGCUCAUGCUCGAAAGCGUGGGGAGCAAACAGGAUUAGAUACCCUGGUAGUCCACGCCCUAAACGAUGGAUACUCGAUGUCGGGUCGCAAGGCCCGGUGUCCAAGCUAACGCGUUAAGUAUCCCACCGUGGGGAUACGAUCGCUAAGGUUGAA